rnacentral:rRNA from 1 species
GAUGAACGCUAGCGGCAGGCUUAAUACAUGCAGGUCGUGGGGCAGCAUGAAUGUAGCAAUACAUUUGAUGGCGACCGGCAAACGGGUGCGGAACACGUACACAACCUUCCUAUAAGUGGGGAAUAGCCCAGAGAAAUUUGGAUUAAUACCCCGUAACAUAACGAUGUGGCAUCACAUUGUUAUUAUAGCUUCGGCGCUUAUUGAUGGGUGUGCGGCUGAUUAGAUAGUUGGCGGGGUAACGGCCCACCAAGUCUACCAUCAGUAGCUGAUGUGAGAGCAUGAUCAGCCACACGGGCACUGAGACACGGGCCCGACUCCUACGGGAGGCAGCAGUAAGGAAUAUUGGUCAAUGGACGCAAGUCUGAACCAGCCAUGACGCGUGAAGGAUUAAGGUCCUCUGGAUUGUAAACUUCUUUUAUCUGGGACGAAAAAAGGCUUUUCUAAGUCACUUGACGGUACCAGAUGAAUAAGCACCGGCUAACUCCGUGCCAGCAGCCGCCGUAAAAC